rnacentral:rRNA from 1 species
CGGUUUCCCGUAGGUGAACCUGCGGAAGGAUCAUUC